rnacentral:rRNA from 1 species
GACGAACGCUGGCGGCGUGCUUAACACAUGCAAGUCGAGCGGAAAGGCUCCUUCGGGGGUACUCGAGCGGCGAACGGGUGAGUAACACGUGAGUAAUCUGCCCUUGGCUUCGGGUUAGCCACCGGAAGCGGUGAUUAAUACCGGAUACGACAACUUCUCGCAUGGGAUGGUUGUGGAAAGUUUUUUCGGCCAGGGAUGUGCUCGCGGCCUAUCAGCUUGAUGGUGAGGUAAUGGCUCACCAUGGCUUCGACGGGUAGCCGGCCUGAGAGGGUGACCGGUCAAACUGGGACUGAGGCACGGCCCAGACUCCUACGGGGGGCAGCAGUGGGGAAUAUUGGACAAUGGGCGGAAGCCUGAUCCAGCAACGCCGCGUGAGGGAUGACGGCCUUCGGGUUGUAAACCUCUUUCGGUAGGGACGAAGCGCAAGUGACGGUACCUACUAAAGAAGCACCGGCCAACUACGUGCCAGCAGCCGCCGUAA